rnacentral:rRNA from 1 species
UACAGGGGGGGCAAGCGUUAUUCAUCGUUAUUUGGCGUAAAGAAUGCGUAGAUGUUUAAAUUAGUUUUCAAUAAAAAAUUAGCUGUAAUGUUAUUUAAAGUUGAAAAAACAAGUUAAAUAUGAGGAAAAUUUAAGUUAAUGGAAUUUCUAAAGGAAAAGUAAAAUUUGUAGAUAUUAGAAAGAAUACCGGCGGUGAAAACGAUUAGCUAAAAUUUCCUGACGUUGAUGCAUGAAGGUAUGGGUAGCAAACAGG